GGAUGUGAGGGCAAUCUGGCUGUGACAUCUGUCACCCCUGUCACCCUACUGAUUGCCAGUUUGAUUUGGCUGAUCUGGCUGGCUAGGCGGGUAUCCCCUGCCUCCCUCACUGCUCCAUGUGCAUCCCUCCCAGAAUAGAGACAGACGAGGUCUGUCUCUAUUCGGGGAGGUCCUCUAGCAUACGAGAUGUUGCGCUCACCUGCUAGAACCUCCAAACAAGCCCUCAAGAUAGGGAGAGAGAAAGAUAAGCACCUGCUUCACUGCUUGUGAAGCA
rnacentral:snRNA from 1 species